ACACGUGGAUAAUCUGCCCUUAGGUGGAGGAUAACCUCGGGAAACUGAGAAUAAUACUCCAUAGAUCUAGGAUGCUGGAAUGCACUUAGAUUAAAAGUUCCGACGCCUAAGGAUGAGUCUGCGGACUAUCAGGUUGUAGUCAGGGUAAAGACCUGACUAGCCUACAACGGAUACGGGUUGUGAGAGCAAUAACCCGGAGACGAUAUCUGAGACACGAUAUCGGGCCCUACGGGGCGCAGCAGGCGCGAAACCUUCACAAUGUGCGAAAGCACGAUGAGGGAAUCCCAAGUGCUUGCUCGUAAGAGUAAGCUGUUUUUAUGUCUAAAAACCAUAGAGAGUAAGGGCUGGGUAAGACGGGUGCCAACCGCCGCGGUAAUACCUGCAGCUCAAGUGGUGACCAC
rnacentral:rRNA from 1 species